rnacentral:rRNA from 1 species
GGAUAACUUACCCUUAGGACUGGGAUAACUCUGGGAAACUGGGGAUAAUACUGGAUAUUAGGCUAUGCCUGGAAUGGUUUGCCUUUGAAAUGUUUUUUUUCGCCUAAGGAUAGGUCUGCGGCUGAUUAGGUCGUUGGUGGGGUAAUGGCCCACCAAGCCGAUGAUCGGUACGGGUUGUGAGAGCAAGGGCCCGGAGAUGGAACCUGAGACAAGGUUCCAGACCCUACGGGGUGCAGCAGGCGCGAAACCUCCGCAAUGUACGAAAGUGCGACGGGGGGAUCCCAAGUGUUAUGCUUUUUUGUAUGACUUUUCAUUAGUGUAAAAAGCUUUUAGAAUAAGAGCUGGGCAAGACCGGUGCCAGCCGCCGCGGUAACACCGGCAGCUCGAGUGGUAGCUGUUUUUAUUGGGCCUAAAGCGUUCGUAGCCGGUUUGAUAAGUCUUUGGUGAAAGCUUGUAGCUUAACUAUAAGAAUUGCUGGAGAUACUAUUAGACUUGAAGUCGGGAGAGGUUAGAGGUACUACCGGGGUAGGGGUGAAAUCCUAUAAUCCUGGGAGGACCACCUGUGGCGAAGGCGUCUAACUGGAACGAUCUUGACGGUGAGUAACGAAAGCCAGGGGCGCGAACCGGAUUAGAUACCCGGGUAGUCCUGGCCGUAAACGAUGUGGACUUGGUGUUGGAAUGGCUU